rnacentral:tRNA from 1 species
GGAUAUAUAGCUCAGUUGGUAGAGUGCUUGCCUAGCAUGCAUAAGGUCCUGGGUUCAGUCCCCAGCACCA